CGAGUACCAGCAACAUCACCGCCUCCCGCCCGGCUUGCCCUCACAAACUCAGCCACAGCCCCCUCUCUCCCCCCUCCCCCCUCUCCCAUGGCGUGCGCGUGCGUGUGAGAGCCGGAGGACCUUCCCUUCGCCGCCUCCCCCUUCUGAACCUGACGAGGGACAAGGGGCGAAGGGUCAGGAAGGGAAGAGGUGCUUGAAAAGGAAAAUGCAACAAUAAAAUGAAAGAAAAAACAACAACAGGGGAGGAAAAACAUUAGAAAUAAAAACAAAAACAAAACAAAAAAAAGUGAUUGUAAAAAGAAAACAAAAACAUGAUGUAAAAAAAGUGAUGAAAAGAAAGGAAAAGAAGAAAAAGAGGAAAAGGAAAAACAACAAAUAAAAACAAAUAAAAACAAAACAAAACAAAAAAAGUGAUUGAAAAAAAGAAAAGAAAACAUGAUGUAAAAAAAGUGAUGAAAAGAAAGGAAAAGAAGAAAAAGAGGAAAAGGAAAAACAAAACAAUCCUAACACAGACACUCGAAGGAGAUAAAGACAAAACAAAACAAAACAACGAAAAGCAAAUGAAGACGAAGUAAAACAA